rnacentral:rRNA from 1 species
UACGUAGGGCGCGAGCGUUGUCCGGAUUUAUUGGGCGUAAAGAGCUCGUAGGCGGCUUGUCGCGUCGUCCGUGAAAACUUGGGGCUCAACCCCAAGCUUGCGGUCGAUACGGGCAGGCUAGAGUUCGGUAGGGGAGACUGGAAUUCCUGGUGUAGCGGUGAAAUGCGCAGAUAUCAGGAGGAACACCGGUGGCGAAGGCGGGUCUCUGGGCCGAUACUGACGCUGAGGUGCGAAAGCGUGGGGAGCAAACAGG